GAUGAACGCUGGCGGCGUGCUUAACACAUGCAAGUCGAACGAUGAAGCCCAGCUUGCUGGGUGGAUUAGUGGCGAACGGGUGAGUAACACGUGAGUAACCUGCCCUUAACUCUGGGAUAAGCCUGGGAAACUGGGUCUAAUACCGGAUAGGAGCGUCCACCGCAUGGUGGGUGUUGGAAAGAUUUAUCGGUUUUGGAUGGACUCGCGGCCUAUCAGCUUGUUGGUGAGGUAAUGGCUCACCAAGGCGAUGACGGGUAGCCGGCCUGAGAGGGUGACCGGCCACACUGGGACUGAGACACGGCCCAGACUCCUACGGGAGGCAGCAGUGGGGAAUAUUGCACAAUGGGCGCAAGCCUGAUGCAGCGACGCCGCGUGAGGGAUGACGGCCUUCGGGUUGUAAACCUCUUUCAGUAGGGAAGAAGCGAAAGUGACGGUACCUGCAGAAGAAGCACCGGCUAACUACGUG
rnacentral:rRNA from 1 species